CCUACGGGAGGCUGCAGUGGGGAAUAUUGGACAAUGGGGGGAACCCUGAUCCAGCCAUGCCGCGUGUGUGAAGAAGGCCCUCGGGUUGUAAAGCACUUUCAGUGAGGAAGAACGCCUGGUGGUUAAUACCCAUCAGGAAAGACAUCACUCACAGAAGAAGCACCGGCUAACUCCGUGCCAGCAGCCGCGGUAAUACGGAGGGUGCGAGCGUUAAUCGGAAUUACUGGGCGUAAAGCGCGCGUAGGUGGCUUGAUAAGCCGGUUGUGAAAGCCCCGGGCUCAACCUGGGAACGGCAUCCGGAACUGUCAAGCUAGAGGGCAGGAGAGGAAGGUAGAAUUCCCGGUGUAGCGGUGAAAUGCGUAGAGAUCGGGAGGAAUACCAGUGGCGAAGGCGGCCUUCUGGACUGACACUGACACUGAGGUGCGAAAGCGUGGGUAGCAAACAGGAUUAGAUAUCCGAGUAGUC
rnacentral:rRNA from 1 species